rnacentral:rRNA from 1 species
UACGAAGGGGGCUAGCGUUGUUCGGAAUCACUGGGCGUAAAGCGCACGUAGGCGGAUUGUUAAGUCAGGGGUGAAAUCCUGGAGCUCAACUCCAGAACUGCCUUUGAUACUGAAGAUCUUGAGUUCGGGAGAGGUGAGUGGAACUGCGAGUGUAGAGGUGAAAUUCGUAGAUAUUCGCAAGAACACCAGUGGCGAAGGCGGCUCACUGGCCCGGUACUGACGCUGAGGUGCGAAAGCGUGGGGAGCAAACAGG